UCUGGGAUUAAUGAUCUUACAGAUGCUCCCACUUUAAAUGGUAACUGUAUUACUUCAAAAUGUGGUAAACUGACCCAGCUGCAUUUAGGGCUCCCCAAUCUGCAGGGUGGGGCCCUGGACUUUUCCUCUAAAGUCCUAUUCUGAUGGCUCCACUGUCAGAACCCCUUAGUGGACUCUUUUAUUCACAGUUCUCUCUGCACUGCCAUUUCUGCUAUCUCUUUUAUCUGUUGCUUUUUAAUUCCUCUCACACUCAAGCUCUCCGCCUGCAUCAGCACAUGCUUUUCUGUGCUCCCACCUCUCUUGUCUCUUGGAUUGCCUUACCAGCAUCUGGUGAUUUGAUUUUCAGACAUUAGCAAGUGAUACAGUGCCUACCUCUGUGAUGAAAAGCUUCACCUGUUGAUUCCUACAUGCCAAGCUGCAGUUAGAAGAAAGCCAGAUACCCAUAUUUUCAGAAUUUGCCUGACUGCUGAGAUACACAAAUAGACAGGGAGAAAGGCUGCACACACAGAGGAAAAUAUUGUCAUGGUGAAACGGAAUGUCUGAACACCUAAAGCAGUGACCUGAGGAGCUGCAGAAAACAAAACUCAAAACCCGGUGCUCAUCUAAUUGGAAACCAGCUGAAGAGGCAACCGAUAUCCAGCAGUCAUCACACCCGAGUCAACUAAUUAGGGAGACUGUAGUGACUUGCAGCACUACCAGUUAGGUUUAUCUAUGUGGAUCAACUUGCCAAGGGGUAUAUAAUGCCUGUCUGUCCAUGCCCAUGAAUCUACAAGAACUGUGGGUGACCCCCUACAAAAAAACCUUAACUUCAGGCAUACUUGAGUUCUCCAAGGACAGCAGAAAAGAAAAUUGAUCAUCUUUUCUUCAAACAAGGUUCAAUUGCCAUAAAAUUGGAACUGGGGGGGGGGGGGAAAUCUCUGCACUAUAGAAAUAUAAUUGUGCUUGGAGAAUUUUCAAAACGACUUCUUGGAAACAUAUGAAACAAGUUAAAUUAUCUGCUUCGUUUGCACUGUUUACAUGAGGGGGGGAAUUACAAAACACUCGACUAGAUACUUUAUUCUAAAACAGCAUAAUAUUAAAUAAUUG